GGGUUGUGAGGUUAAGCGACUAAGCGUACACGGUGGAUGCCUAGGCAGUCAGAGGCGAUGAAGGGCGUGCUAAUCUGCGAAAAGCGUCGGUAAGCUGAUAUGAAGCGUUAUAACCGACGAUACCCGAAUGGGGAAACCCAGUGCAAUACGUUGCACUAUCGUUAGAUGAAUACAUAGUCUAACGAGGCGAACCGGGGGAACUGAAACAUCUAAGUACCCCGAGGAAAAGAAAUCAACCGAGAUUCCCCAGUAGCGGCGAGCGAACGGGGAGGAGCCCAGAGUCUGAAUCAGUUUGUGUGUUAGUGGAAGCGUCUGGAAAGUCGCACGGUACAGGGUGAUAGUCCCGUACACCAAAAUGCACAGGCUGUGAACUCGAUGAGUAGGGCGGGACACGUGACAUCCUGUCUGAAUAUGGGGGACCAUCCUCCAAGGCUAAAUACUCCUGACUGACCGAUAGUGAACCAGUACCGUGAGGGAAAGGCGAAAAGAACCCCGGCGAGGGGAGUGAAAUAGAACCUGAAACCGUGUACGUACAAGCAGUGGGAGCACCUUCGUGGUGUGACUGCGUACCUUUUGUAUAAUGGGUCAGCGACUUAUAUUUUGUAGCAAGGUUAACCGAAUAGGGGAGCCGUAGGGAAACCGAGUCUUAACUGGGCGUCUAGUUGCAAGGUAUAGACCCGAAACCCGGUGAUCUAGCCAUGGGCAGGUUGAAGGUUGGGUAACACUAACUGGAGGACCGAACCGACUAAUGUUGAAAAAUUAGCGGAUGACUUGUGGCUGGGGGUGAAAGGCCAAUCAAACCGGGAGAUAGCUGGUUCUCCCCGAAAGCUAUUUAGGUAGCGCCUCGUGAACUCAUCUUCGGGGUAGAGCACUGUUUCGGCUAGGGGGCCAUCCCGGCUUACCAAACCGAUGCAAACUCCGAAUACCGAAGAAUGUUAUCACGGGAGACACACGGCGGGUGCUAACGUCCGUCGUGAAGAGGGAAACAACCCAGACCGCCAGCUAAGGUCCCAAAGUCAUGGUUAAGUGGGAAACGAUGUGGGAAGGCACAGACAGCCAGGAUGUUGGCUUAGAAGCAGCCAUCAUUUAAAGAAAGCGUAAUAGCUCACUGGUCGAGUCGGCCUGCGCGGAAGAUGUAACGGGGCUAAACCAUGCACCGAAGCUGCGGCAGCGACGUUUAGGCGUUGUUGGGUAGGGGAGCGUUCUGUAAGCCGUUGAAGGUGACCUGUGAGGGUUGCUGGAGGUAUCAGAAGUGCGAAUGCUGACAUAAGUAACGAUAAUGCGGGUGAAAAACCCGCACGCCGGAAGACCAAGGGUUCCUGUCCAACGUUAAUCGGGGCAGGGUGAGUCGACCCCUAAGGCGAGGCUGAAAAGCGUAGUCGAUGGGAAACAGGUUAAUAUUCCUGUACUUGGUGUUACUGCGAAGGGGGACGAAGAAGGCUAGGCUGGCCGGGCGACGGUUGUCCCGGUUUAAGCGUGUAGGGGGAGUGACCAGGUAAAUCCGGUUGCUUAUCAACCCUGAGGCGUGAUGACGAUGCACUACGGUGCAGAAGCAGUUGAUGCCAUGCUUCCAGGAAAAGCCUCUAAGCAUCAGGUAACAUUAAAUCGUACCCCAAACCGACACAGGUGGUCAGGUAGAGAAUACUCAGGCGCUUGAGAGAACUCGGGUGAAGGAACUAGGCAAAAUGGUGCCGUAACUUCGGGAGAAGGCACGCUGGCGUUAGGUGAAAGGACUAGCUCCUGGAGCUGAAGCCAGUCGCAGAUACCAGCUGGCUGCAACUGUUUAAUAAAAACACAGCACUGUGCAAACACGAAAGUGGACGUAUACGGUGUGACGCCUGCCCGGUGCUGGAAGGUUAAUUGAUGGGGUCAGCCGCAAGGCGAAGCUCUUGAUCGAAGCCCCAGUAAACGGCGGCCGUAACUAUAACGGUCCUAAGGUAGCGAAAUUCCUUGUCGGGUAAGUUCCGACCUGCACGAAUGGCGUAAUGAUGGCCAGGCUGUCUCCACCCGAGACUCAGUGAAAUUGAACUCGCUGUGAAGAUGCAGUGUACCCGCGGCAAGACGGAAAGACCCCGUGAACCUUUACUAUAGCUUGACACUGAACAUUGAGCCUUGAUGUGUAGGAUAGGUGGGAGGCAUUGAAGUGUGGACGCCAGUCUGCAUGGAGCCAACCUUGAAAUACCACCCUUUAAUGUUUGAUGUUCUAACUCGGCCCCAUGAUCUGGGGUGAGGACAGUGUCUGGUGGGUAGUUUGACUGGGGCGGUCUCCUCCCAAAGAGUAACGGAGGAGCACGAAGGUUAGCUAAUCACGGUCGGACAUCGUGAGGUUAGUGCAAAGGCAUAAGCUAGCUUGACUGCGAGAGUGACGGCUCGAGCAGGUACGAAAGUAGGUCUUAGUGAUCCGGUGGUUCUGAAUGGAAGGGCCAUCGCUCAACGGAUAAAAGGUACUCCGGGGAUAACAGGCUGAUACCGCCCAAGAGUUCAUAUCGACGGCGGUGUUUGGCACCUCGAUGUCGGCUCAUCACAUCCUGGGGCUGAAGUAGGUCCCAAGGGUAUGGCUGUUCGCCAUUUAAAGUGGUACGCGAGCUGGGUUUAGAACGUCGUGAGACAGUUCGGUCCCUAUCUGCCGUGGGCGUUGGAAGAUUGAGAGGGGCUGCUCCUAGUACGAGAGGACCGGAGUGGACGAAUCACUGGUGUUCGGGUUGUCAUGCCAAUGGCAUUGCCCGGUAGCUAAAUUCGGAAGAGAUAACCGCUGAAAGCAUCUAAGCGGGAAACUUGCCUCGAGAUGAGUCUUCCCUGGGGCUUAAAGCCCCCUGAAGGAACGUUAAAGACUAUGACGUUGAUAGGCUGGGUGUGUAAGUGCAGCGAUGUAUUGAGCUAACCAGUACUAAUGAUCCGUGAGGCUUAACCUUACAACACCGAAGGUGUUU
rnacentral:rRNA from 1 species